CCCUUAGAUGUUCUGGGCCGCACGCGCGCUACACUGUUCGACGCAGCGCGUCUUAACCUUGACCGAAAGGUUUGGGUAAUCUUCAGCAAAGUCGAACGUGAUGGGGAUCGAUCAUUGCAAUUAUUGAUCGUGAACGAGGAAUUCCUAGUAAGUGCAAGUCAUCAGCUUGCGCUGAUUACGUCCCUGCCCUUUGUACACACCGCCCGUCGCUACUACCGAUUGAAUGGUUUAGUGAGAUCUCUGGAUUGACGCUGGCUAGGGGGCGACCCUUGGCCAGGCUGUCGAGAAACUGCUCAAACUUGAUCAUUUAGAGGAAGUAAAAGUCGUAACA
rnacentral:rRNA from 1 species